CUCGGUUGUGCAACAGGAGCCUGGGGACUGCAGGAGCUGCCAGCUCAGGGGCAGCUCCUUCUCUCCCCAGCACCUCAUGCCCACCUCUGCUGGGAAAUCGCUGGCCUGGUUCCUGGGGUUUCACUGAUUGGUUUCAGAGGCCCUCCUGGAAUAGGGGACCUCCUGAGAGGGGAAUGAAGAAACCUUGGCAGAGAGAAUGGCCAGUGACCCCAAUGGCAGUAUGCUGGGUCCAGAACCAGUGCUCUUUGGCUUUCUCCAUGAUGAAUGAGCACACUCACCUCCACAGGCUUGUCGGUGACCGAAGGGGCCGUGCUGCCCAGGGCCUGCAGACUUGCACACCCGGGCUUGUUACAAGCCCCUCAUCCAGCGCCGCCAGCCCCGCCUCGCCCAUCCCUGAGCCUUGAAGGAACCUCAGGUUGCUGCGGGAGCCAGGCGGGCCCAAGCCUCCUCUCCUCUUCCACCUCCUGCUGCCCUCACUUCUCACUCCUUGGUGCCCGCUGCCCCCUCAGCUGACGUAUGUCCCAUAAGGGGACGUGUAUCCCAUUUCGUGGGUGGCGCCUGCCCUUCCCCCAAAGCGUGGCACCCAGGAAGCCCUAAAACACGCAGUGGCUGUGAUCGGACAGUGAGACUCGCCCUAUGUACUACUUGCCAUGGGUGGAGUCACCUCUCCUGAAAAGGCAUAUUCAAGUCCUAGUCCAGCCCUGUGAAUGUGACCUGAAUAAGGGCAUCUUUGAAGGUAUCCUGAGUUACUGACCAACAAACCACAGCAGUUGGAAGUCAGGAUGGGGUUACCCUGCAGGGUUCAGAGGGACAGCAUCCUCUUUACACCUUGAUUUCAAACUUUUGACCUGAGACCUGUGGGGCCACACUGCCCUGAAUUUGGCAGCCUCCAGCAGGCGGUGCUGGGUGGGGCAGUCCUGGGAAAUAAAACCCUGUACUCAUGUCUUUACUACUUGUCUUUUCUGCCACGUACCAG
rnacentral:lncRNA from 1 species